ACUCAAAGGAAUUGACGGGGGCCCGCACAAGCGGCGGAGCAUGUUGCUUAAUUCGACGCAACGCGAAGAACCUUACCAAGGCUUGACAUGCAGGGAAAAGCCGUAGAGAUACGGUGUCCGUAAGGGUCCUGCACAGGUGGUGCAUGGCUGUCGUCAGCUCGUGUCGUGAGAUGUUGGGUUAAGUCCCGCAACGAGCGCAACCCUUGUCCCAUGUUGCCAGCGGGUAAUGCCGGGGACUCAUGGGAGACUGCCGGGGUCAACUCGGAGGAAGGUGGGGAUGACGUCAAGUCAUCAUGCCCCUUAUGUCUUGGGCUGCAAACAUGCUACAAUGGCCGGUACAAAGGGCUGCGAAGCCGCAAGGCGAAGCGAAUCUCAGAAAGCCGGUCUCAGUUCGGAUUGGGGUCUGCAACCCGACCCCAUGAAGCCGGAGUCGCUAGUAAUCGCGGAUCAGCAAUGCCGCGGUGAAUACGUUCCCGGGCCUUGUACACACCGCCCGU
rnacentral:rRNA from 1 species